AUUGAACGCUGGCGGCAGGCCUAACACAUGCAAGUCGAACGAGUGGCGGACGGGUGAGUAAUGUCUGGGAAACUGCCCGAUGGAGGGGGAUAACUACUGGAAACGGUAGCUAAUACCGCAUACCAUCGGAUGUGCCCAGAUGGGAUUAGCUAGGAGGUGGGGUAACGGCUCACCUAGGCGACGAUCCCUAGCUGGUCUGAGAGGGUGACCAGCCAAACUGGAAAUGAGCCACGGUCCAGACUCCUACGGGAGGCAGCAUGGGGGAAUAUUGGACAAUGGGGGAAAGCCUGCUCCAGCCAUCCCGCGUGUGCGAUGAAGGCCGUCGGGUUGUAAAGCACUGUUGGCAGGAAAGCGGUACCUGCAGAAUAAGCACCGGCUAACUAAGUGCCAGCAGCCGCGGUAAUAC
rnacentral:rRNA from 1 species